GUGGGGAAUCUUGCGCAAUGCGCGAAAGCGUGACGCAGCAACGCCGCGUGGGGGAAGAAGGCUUUCGGGUUGUAAACCCCUUUCAGUUGGGACGAAGCUUCGACGGUGAAUAGCCGGACGGAGUGACGGUACCUUCACAAGAAGCACCGGCUAACUACGUGCCAGCAGCCGCGGUAAUACGUAGGGUGCAAGCGUUGUCCGGAAUUAUUGGGCGUAAAGAGCGUGUAGGCGGCCCGAUUAGUCCGCUGUGAAAGUCCAGGGCUCAACCCUGGAAUGCCGGUGGAUACUGUCGGGCUAGAGUCCGGAAGGGGCGAGUGGAAUUCCUGGUGUAGCGGUGAAAUGCGCAGAUAUCAGGAGGAACACCAAUGGCGAAGGCAGCUCGCUGGGACGUGACUGACGCUGAGACGCGAAAGCGUGGGGAGCAAACAGGAUUAGAAACCCCUGUAGUCC
rnacentral:rRNA from 1 species